rnacentral:rRNA from 1 species
UACGGAGGGGGCUAGCGUUGUUCGGAAUUACUGGGCGUAAAGCGCACGUAGGCGGAUUGCUAAGUCAGGGGUGAAAUCCUGGAGCUCAACUCCAGAACUGCCUUUGAUACUGGCGAUCUCGAGUCCGGGAGAGGUGAGUGGAACUCCGAGUGUAGAGGUGAAAUUCGUAGAUAUUCGGAAGAACACCAGUGGCGAAGGCGGCUCACUGGCCCGGUACUGACGCUGAGGUGCGAAAGCGUGGGGAGCAAACAGG